rnacentral:rRNA from 1 species
AGGGUUUGAUCAUGGCUCAGAACGAACGCUGGCGGCAGGCCUAACACAUGCAAGUCGAGCGCGCCCUUCGGGGUGAGCGGCGGACGGGUUAGUAACGCGUGGGAACGUACCCAGAUCUACGGAAUAGCCUUUGGAAACGAAGAGUAAUACCGUAUACGCCCUUCGGGGGAAAGAUUUAUCGGAUUUGGAUCGGCCCGCGUUAGAUUAGAUAGUUGGUGGGGUAAUGGCCUACCAAGUCUACGAUCUAUAGCUGGUUUUAGAGGAUGAUCAGCAACACUGGGACUGAGACACGGCCCAGACUCCUACGGGAGGCAGCAGUGGGGAAUCUUAGACAAUGGGCGCAAGCCUGAUCUAGCCAUGCCGCGUGAGUGAUGAAGGCCUUAGGGUCGUAAAGCUCUUUCGCCAGGGAUGAUAAUGACAGUACCUGGUAAAGAAACCCCGGCUAACUCCGUGCCAGCAGCCGCGGUAAUACGGAGGGGGUUAGCGUUGUUCGGAAUUACUGGGCGUAAAGCGCGCGUAGGCGGACCAGAAAGUUGGGGGUGAAAUCCCGGGGCUCAACCCCGGAACUGCCUCCAAAACUCCUGAUCUAGAGUUCGAGAGAGGUGAGUGGAACUCCGAGUGUAGAGGUGAAAUUCGUAGAUAUUCGGAAGAACACCAGUGGCGAAGGCGGCUCACUGGCUCGAUACUGACGCUGAGGUGCGAAAGUGUGGGGAGCAAACAGGAUUAGAUACCCU